UAUAAUGGAGGUGUUGUUGCAGUGUAGGUAGGUAGGUGUACACCAGAUAACAGUAUAAUAUAAUGGAGGUGUUGUUGCAGUGUAGGUAGGUAGGUGUACACCAGAUAACAG